rnacentral:rRNA from 1 species
UAUUUUAAAUUGUAAAUGGAUUUAAUCUACCUAAGUAUUAUGAAUAAUAUAUUUGAAAUUUAAAGAACUUGGCGGUGUCUAUAGACUUUUUAGGGGAACCUGUUUUUUAAUCGAUGGUCCUCGUUAUACCUUGCCUAUUUUUGUUAUGCAGUUUGUAUACCGUCGUCGUCAGUUAACUUUAGAGAAGAUAUAAGUUGUCUUAGAAAAUUUAAUUUUAAAUGUCAGAUCAAGGUGCAGCUUAUAGAUAGGUUAAUAUGGGUUACAAUUAUUUAGUUGUAUAGAAUAAUUUUAUGAAAUGUAUUGUUUGAAAAAGGACUUAAAAGUAAUUUUAUUUAGAUAUAUAUAAUGAAUGUAGCUCUUGGAUGUGCACACACCGCCCGUCACCCUCA